GGGCCCGCACAAGCGGUGGAGCAUGUGGUUCAAUUCGACGCAACGCGAAGAACCUUACCCAGGCUCGAACGGCAUUGGACAUCCUGCGAAAGCAGGCUCCCGCAAGGGCCGAUGUCGAGGUGCUGCAUGGCUGUCGUCAGCUCGUGUCGUGAGAUGUUGGGUUAAGUCCCGCAACGAGCGCAACCCUUGUCCGCUGUUGCCAUCAGGUUACGCUGGGCACUCUGCGGAGACUGCCGGUGAUAAACCGGAGGAAGGUGGGGAUGACGUCAAGUCAGCAUGGCCUUUAUGUCUGGGGCUACACACGUGCUACAAUGGCCGGUACAAACCGUCGCGAUCUCGCAAGAGGGAGCUAAUCGGAGAAAACCGGUCUCAGUUCGGAUUGCAGGCUGCAACUCGCCUGCAUGAAGUUGGAAUCGCUAGUAAUCGCGGAUCAGCACGCCGCGGUGAAUACGUUCCCGGGCCUU
rnacentral:rRNA from 1 species